CAAUGCUGUUUUUGAAUAGCUGGAGGGUGAGUAAUCACAUAGUAAGGUGUACGACACUAAUAUCUCCAACUAUUCAAAAACAGCAUUGACAGUCGAGAGAAGCUCAGAUUUAACAUCCACUCAUUGAGUGUCAGUGUGCUUUUAGACUACUUUUUCCGCGCCUUUUUUGACCGUUUGCUGUGCAUCGCUAUUUUCAUUUUUUCAACCUCUUCAGAGACGGACUUGAACCAAGUCUAUUAGACUACAGGCGUAAAUCUUUUUAACAUGCUCCUCAAACGCCUUAAUUAAGAUGGUAUAGAUAAUGAAAAUAAACUGGAAAAUAAAUUUGGAAGCAACGACAAAAAAAUUAGUCAGGUUUUGAGAGAAACAAUUACCUCAUGGACAUGGUGCACUUGACACUUAAAUGCAUUAAACAUUGCAAAAUAAAAAAGUAAAAUAAUUAUAAUGCUUGAGUGACGAAAUUAAAAUACCA